ensembl:lincRNA Gm13025 predicted gene 13025
AUCUCAGUACAGGAAAGAUGGAGCCAGGAAGAUCAUGAUUGCAAGGCCAACCUGAGCUACAGAGUGAGACCACCAGAAAGAGGAAGAAACAUCCCGUUGGUAGGACUUGAGCAGCCACGGUUUCCCUUUCCCUCCUGUUCCGGGUUUGUGCCUGGAGAGGUCAAGGAGCUUGCCUGAGGUCACACAGAAUUCUACACCUGGCAAGAUCCAGCCGUGUUCAUGCAUGUGCAAGUGUGUACCCGUGCAGGUUAGAAGUGGACAUCAUCAGGCGUCUUCCUCAAUGACUCUCAGCCUCGUUUAGGGGUUUCUCUAUAUAGCCCUGGCUGUCCUGGAACUCACUCUGUAGAUCAGGCUGGCCUGGAACUCAGAAAGAUAUCCGCCUGCCUCUGCCUCCGGAGUGCUGGGAUUAAAGGCGUGCACCACCACGCCCAGCUAAUGGCAUGUUUCUUCAUUAACCAAGACAUCACUGACAUGUUCUUCCCUCUACCGUCCCACAGGGAGCCUGGUAAUUCCCACAGACUUCAGGCCCCGCCCCAGAACAAUGAGGUCUCUGGGCCCCCAGCAGAUAGGAAACACAUGGCCACACAGUCUGUUAGAUUGUCAGGAUCAAAGCAGAACAUCUGGUUCUGACCACCUACCCCCAGAGGGGCCCCAGCCGGAGCCCCAGCUCCUGUACCACAGUGGAAGGUCAUUUUUUCCAGCCGUUUCGUGGUUCUCCAUCAGGAAGGGAGGGGGGCUGUGAUUGCCCCCCACAGAACAUCUGUCAAUGUCAGGAGAUAUUUUCGGGUUUUCCAGCUGAAAGGAAGGAGGAACUGCUGACAUCUGUGAGGUGGGGGCCCCCCCCCGGGGCUAGCGCUGAGCCAGCUGCGGUUGCUCAUGUCAAACAGCAGCUCUGCCCAAACUGAUCUGGGGAAACUGAGGGGGUCCCUCCUGGGGUUCCUAGCUUCAUUAAUAAACGGAUUUAAGAAUGAAC